GCGAACCCGCCUCUCCGUCUCCCCGCCGGCCGCCGCUUCGGCUCUUCCGCCUGCAGCACGGGCCGCUGCUCUUCGCUGAGCCCCUGCAAUCUGGGAAAUCUAGCAGCCAUGGCCUCUUUCCCCACCGCCCCCGUGCCACAUAUCGAGCGCAUCCAUGGGCGUCAUAGCACGCAGGGCCACAGGCGCAGCGUUGCUGGGACUCCGCGCGCGGCCGAUUCAUGCUCGAGGCGCCGCCUCCCUGCCAUAGCCAUUACCUACUCCCCUCCCCGGCGCGCCACGGCGGACACAGCUGAGACCGCAUGGUCGGACCUGGCGACCGCUCCACUCAGGGCCUCAAUGCUCCCGCGCCUGUGGCAGCCACAAAGUUUGGGGAGAGCCCUCCUUGGGAGGACCGACGAGGGCAGCGCAGGAGCAGUGUGCGGGGGCGGAGGCCGCCGGUAACACGAGAAAAAGGUGGCCGUUCAGCUUCUCCGGCUGGCUUGUCAUCGCCUCGUUAGUAGCCGUGCUCGUCCUCAACUCUCUCAUUGGACAUGGUGACGGCCAACGAGAGGAGACACUAAUGCAGGGAGAUCAAUUGCAGCUCAAUUGAUUAGGUGCUUAGUGAGAAAACGUAAGCUCUAAGCAAAGAUAGCCAUGUUGAGUUUUCGGAAGAUCAGGUUGCGGAUCUUCCUCAGAUGACAGAUAUUGAUUUUGAAAUUCGAUCAAGACAAGAACAAUUGCUGCAGGGGAACCUGAUGUUCCUCAUGCAGAAGCAGAGGCCGUAUCAAGCUCCUGCAGGGGAAGCAAGCUAAAGUACUGCCUAAGCACUUGCCCAUGUUUUAGUAUUUACUGCUUAAGGCAGAGGCAAGCUAUGCUGAGAGAUUCUAUGGCUUGCAACCCAAGAAGGAUAAUCCAUGGGGUAGGAAAGGAAACAUGGAAACAAUGUUUUAUUACUUGCUGCUGUAUGAGCGGCCACCUAAUUAGGACCGUUAUCAACUUGAUAAUCCAGAGAGACCGAGAAAUUACAGGGGAGACCUUUAUAUUGAUGUGCAAGUUCUAAACCCAUCAAUCUUUUGCCGCCAUAUAUUGAAAAGUAAUUCCUAGAGUGAUGGCACGAUUUUUCUAUGAGAAAAAGAGGACAAAAAGAAGUGGUGACAAAUAUUUACUAACAUUAGAAUUGAGAAUCAUAGGCAAUACUGUGUGCAUAUUUUUCUGUUCAUUCAAUACCUGCGCAUGCCAAAACCAUUUGCUCAUCACCUAUAUUGCGAUAAAAAAUACCUGGAUGUUCUGUUUGUCUGAAUAUAUUAUAAUUUUCAGGGGAAUUUACUUCAUCUUUGUGGCAGGCUGCAUCUUUAGAUAGCACAAACUUGCAAGUUGCAGCUUCAAAGAAAAUACUGAUGUGGUUUGUGGUCAAUAUUUGAAUAGUUUGAUUGCCAAUUAUUUGAAAUUUGACAUUUUUAGUUGGCAUUACCAAAAGACUGAUAACACAUUUCAACCUUGUCUUACGCUUAAUAACUAAUAUACUAUUUACAGUCACAUGAUGAUACAUAUUCAAAUAGUAGACAAAUAUAAUAGCUAGGCAUGUUCUUUCCAUGAAUCUCUCUAUUUCAAUUGAUUAUUUAUUUUCUUGCAAAUGAUCAUUAUCAAUGUAUCCUUUUCUCCUGUUUCAUAGCAUCAUCUAAAAAACUAUAUUGUAUACAUAUUUACUGGACGUAUCAGUAUAAGUAGGAGAUUAUGUUCUACUUGUUGCAUCGAUUGAGAUAUUAUACCACUGAGGUAUAUUUAGGUUCUAUCAUAAAGAGCCAGUAUAUCUUGUUGCUUGAUUUAUUUAUUUAUUUUUGCCAUUUGCUUGUUCUCUCUCACAGCAGCUAAUUUUCAUUGUUGAUGUCCAGAUAAGCAUGAUCCAGAAGUCCGAUGAAGGAAUUAUCUGAAAUUUUUGGACCAAAGCAUUUUAACAUAUUUUAUAUUCUGUAUGAACUGAUAUUACAACCAAAUCUGAAUUAUUUGUAUUCUAUGCCCACUAGGCACCAGGUGAUUCAUCCAAGUGCACAUCUCAAGAAGCUCUGAACAAAGUAAAAACCAAGAUUGACGGUCUUUAUUGGCCUGUGGUUAUCAGAAUGCUAGAACAAGCUCAGUUUUGCCUGCCUAGCUGUUCUGCCACUGAAUGAACUAUCUUGAGUUCUAAACAAUCCUUAUUAUUUUCUAUCUAAUGCCUCUAACAUUUGCUCUGAGCUUAAGCAUAAUAGAAAGACCAUACGGAUUCAUAGGCACGUCAGAUAGAAUUCAGUCCUCAUUUAGUUUUGGUCUAAAACAUUCUACAUUUCAGGACAUGACAAACCAUCACUGUGAGCGGUUGGAGAUACCUACUAUUUGGUCAAUUUGUGCAAGGUAUAAACGUGUGCUGUGAAGCCAAGGCAAAUUUUAUUUUUAGCUGUAGUGGGGUAUAUUGUUCAUGCAACAAUACAUGCUGAUAUGUAAGCCACUGGUAGUAAGUAAAUAAAACAGGCAGCUCUCAGCAUCAUAGCAUGCUUGCAAAGUUCAGACA